UACAGAGACUGCAAGCGUUAUUCGGAUUCACUGGGCGUAAAGGGUGCGCAGGCGGCCGAGUGUGUGAGGCGUGAAAGCCCGGGGCUUAACCCCGGAAUUGCACCUCAAACUACACGGCUAGAGCAUUGGAGAGGGUAGCAGAAUUCAUGGUGUAGCAGUGAAAUGCGUAGAUAUCAUGAGGAAUACCAGAGGCGAAGGCGGCAUUCUGGACCGAUAUUGACGCUGAGGAGCGAAAGCCAGGGGAGCAAACGGG
rnacentral:rRNA from 1 species